rnacentral:rRNA from 1 species
CCUCUUGGGCGUUCGAAUGUGGUGUUUAGGUUGGUACUUUCUUGUGUUGCACUAUUUAAAGUCCAUUCUUGAAUAUGGCUAAUAGUUUGGCCGAAAGAUGGUGAACUAUGCGUGUGGAUGGUGCGAUGCUUGACUGUUCUAACUAUGGAGUCGGGUUGUUUGAGAAUGCAGCCCAAAGUUGGUGGUAAACUCCAUCUAAGGCUAAAUACUGGCACGAGUCCGAUAGCGAACAAGUACCGUGAGGGAAAGUUGAAAAGUACUCUGAAGAGAGAGUUAACAGUGCGUGAAACCGCUUAGAAGCAAACGGGUGUAGUCAAGCUGCAAGCCUUUGGAACUUGGGGGGUCAGAUUGGCGUGAGUCUGAGCAUAUAGAGCUGGUGAAUGUGUCCGAUUUUUGUCGGGUUUGGUUCGUAUGGGCCGAAUUUGCGAAGCGUCUUACGGCGUUGCAAGCAUGUUAACCGGUCGCUCUGCUGACCCUCAUACUUUCCUUUGGCGUAUGUCACGACCGUCUUUGCUGUCGGUCUGCUCUGUUCAAACCGUUUCGUGAGUAGUUUCGUGCUUCUUGCGUUGCGGGGGCAGGUAGCUGGUAUGGUUUCGGCCAAACUAGUGUAAUUGCUGGGCAGAGUGGUAUCUGUAACUGUGCAGUGAGACGUGGCUGGCGGUGCUGGGCGUGCUUGUGUGUCGGCGUAUUGGUGUAUGGCUACUUGUUGCUGUUAAUGAUGGCCUUGUGGUUGCCCGACUGCCGUUUGAUGCGCGGCUGCAUUUGGUUGCUUGUGCCUAUAGUCUGUGGCCUAUGGGUAGACGAUCCACCCAACCCGUCUUGGAAC